rnacentral:lncRNA from 10 species
ACAUGAACCCUUCACUCUUCCUGGCUGCCUAUUGCCUCAGCUGCUGUAACACGUGACCACAGUUUAGAUGAACAAUGGACCAAGUGGAAGGCAAAGCACAAGAGAUUAUAUGGCAAGAAUGAAGAAGGAUGGAGGAGAGCAGUGUGGGAGAACAUGAAGAUGAUUGAGCAGCACAAUCAGGAACACAGCCAAGGGAAACACAGCUUCACAACAGCCAUGAACGCCUUUGGAGACAUGGUGAAUUCAGGCAGGUGAUGAAUGGUUUUCAAUACCAGAAGCACAGGAAGGGGAAAGAGUUCCAGGAACGUCUGCUUCUUGAGAUCCCCACAUCUGUGAACUGGAGAGAGAAAGGCUACAUGAGUCCUGUGAAGGAUCCAGGGUCAUUGUGGCUCUUGUUGGGCUUUUAGUACAACUGGUAUGCUGGAAGGGCAGAUGUUCUAGAAAACAGGCAAACUUAUCUCACUGAGUGAGCAGAAUCUGGUAGCUCUGGUCCUCAAAGCAAUGAGGGCUGCAAUGGUGGCUUCAUGGAUACUUCCUUCUGGUAUGUUGAGGAGAACGGAGACCUGGACUCUGAGGCCUCCUAUCCAUAUGAAGGAAAGGUAAAUGGAGCUGUAGGUACAAUCCCAAGUAUUCUGUUGCUAAUGACACUGGCUUUGUGGACAUACCUUCAUGGGAGAAGGACCUGGCGAAGGCAGUGGCAACUGUGGGGCCCAUCUCUGUUGCUGUUGAUGCAAGCCAUGUCUCCUUCCAGUUCUAUACGGAAAUUUAUUUUGAGCCACGCUGUGACUCUGAAGGCCUGGAUCAUGCUAUGCUGGUGGUUGGCUAUGGCUAUGAAGGAUCAGACUCGGAUAACAAAUAUUGGCUGGUGAAUCAGCUGGGGUAAAAACUGGGGCAUGGAUGGCUACAUAAAGAUGGCCAAAGACCGGAGGAACAACUGUGGAAUCACCACAGCAGCCAGCUACCCAAC